AGAGUUCGAUCCUGGCUCAGGAUGAACGCUGGCGGCGCGCCUAACACAUGCAAGUCGAACGGCACCCACCUUCGGGUGGAAGCGAGUGGCGAACGGCUGAGUAACACGUGGAGAACCUGCCCCCUCCCCCGGGAUAGCCGCCCGAAAGGACGGGUAAUACCGGAUACCCCGGGGUGCCGCAUGGCACCCCGGCUAAAGCCCCGACGGGAGGGGAUGGCUCCGCGGCCCAUCAGGUAGACGGCGGGGUGACGGCCCACCGUGCCGACAACGGGUAGCCGGGUUGAGAGACCGACCGGCCAGAUUGGGACUGAGACACGGCCCAGACUCCUACGGGAGGCAGCAGUGGGGAAUCUUGCGCAAUGGGGGGAACCCUGACGCAGCGACGCCGCGUGCGGGACGGAGGCCUUCGGGUCGUAAACCGCUUUCAGCAGGGAAGAGUCAAGACUGUACCUGCAGAAGAAGCCCCGGCUAACUACGUGCCAGCAGCCGCGGUAAUACGUAGGGGGCGAGCGUUAUCCGGAUUCAUUGGGCGUAAAGCGCGCGUAGGCGGCCCGGCAGGCCGGGGGUCGAAGCGGGGGGCUCAACCCCCCGAAGCCCCCGGAACCUCCGCGGCUUGGGUCCGGUAGGGGAGGGUGGAACACCCGGUGUAGCGGUGGAAUGCGCAGAUAUCGGGUGGAACACCGGUGGCGAAGGCGGCCCUCUGGGCCGAGACCGACGCUGAGGCGCGAAAGCUGGGGGAGCGAACAGGAUUAGAUACCCUGGUAGUCCCAGCCGUAAACGAUGGACGCUAGGUGUGGGGGGACGAUCCCCCCGUGCCGCAGCCAACGCAUUAAGCGUCCCGCCUGGGGAGUACGGCCGCAAGGCUAAAACUCAAAG
rnacentral:rRNA from 1 species